rnacentral:misc_RNA from 1 species
UCCGAGUUGACCCCGGCAGUCUCCCAUGAGUCCCCGCCAUUACGCGCUGGCAACAUGGAACGAGGGUUGCGCUCGUUGCGGGACUUAACCAAACAUCUCACGACACGAGCUGACGACGGCCAUGCAACACCUGUCACUAGGUUCCCGAAGGCACUCACUACUUUCGUAGUAAUUCCUAGGAUGUCAAACCCUGGUAAGGUUCUUCGCUUAGCCUCGAAUUAAACAACACGCUCCACCGCUUGUGCGGGUCCCCGUCUAUUCCUUUGAGUUUUAAUCUUGCGACCGUACUCCCCAGGCGGGAUACUUAACGCGUUAGCUUCGUUACUGACCGGGUCGAUACGGCCAACAACUAGUAUCCAUCGUUUACGGCGUGGACUAC